CUCAUUGCAAUGAACCUUGGCACAUGAAGAUGUAUGAAGAGAGGGAUAUACUGUGAGCUGUACUAUGACACACUAUAGCUUCCACAACAAGGGAAGAAGAAGAAGAAAGAGGUGGAGGAAGGGAGAAGGAAUGGAGCGGAGGGAGAGGAGAGGAAUGGAGAGGAGAGGAAGGGAGGGGAGGGGAGGAGAGAAGAGAAGAGAAGAGAAGAGAAAGAGAAGAGAAGAGGGGCUGGAAUAAUAUGCAGUCCUCUCUCUAUACUGGCUUGCACCUGGCAGGCAACGACAGCAGUUGAUGAUACAAGCUGUUGCUAGGUCCCUGUUGGGAGGAGCCUGGCAGAAUAGUCUGUCACAGCUGUCAGGAUAUGGUGGUGUUUCCUGAGUGAAGAAAAACAAAACAAAAGAGAUAAGAAGAAGAUAAAAAGGCCCCAUUUCUGUUAUUUGAAUCCUCAUGAACUGAUUCAGUAUGCAUGGUGCUUGCCCAGGCCCAGGUGUCUGUGAUCGUGAGGCAGCGCCCACUGGAGUGGGUUCACGAGCCCUCUGUAUUGACAUUCCACGUGUGUUUACUGGGACUCAUCAUUCUUCCAGAAGAUGACCUUGCAGUUCAGACAGUGAAGCACAAUUGCAUUGCCACUUGAGUUUCCUGGUUUCCCGAUUUCUUCUGCAUUCCCUCCUUGGGGGAGGUCCCAAUAUGACUAGCCUGGGCCUAUUUGGUCCUUACCAGGAAUGUCUGAUACCAUCACACUGACCAAGAAGAUGUCCUGCUUCUUGCUGACAGAUCAUGGAUGGAGGAGGCAGAAGAGAUGCUACCCCUGACAACACAAGAUCUCCUGGAAGGACAUCCAUGUCCUGGUGGCUGCUGCACAGGUUCCCCUGGUUUUAGGCUGAAGAAACUACCUCGAUUCACAGCUGGUAGGAGACAGAAAAAAGAGGACAAAAACGGAAUGACGUAGGGCAAGUGCAACUGGGGAAUGGUCCAGGAACAACAGUGAUAUCGAGAAGCAUCCAAACCCUGAAAAUCUUGUCUUCAGUAGAGACUGUUCCCUCUCUAGGCUCAGACUGCAUGUCCUGGUAUUGUUGGCCAAAUUAUAAAUUUAAGCACUGCUAUCCCUUUUUAUGCAAA
rnacentral:lncRNA from 1 species